AUAUCCAUUGCCAUCUUGUAAUCUUCUUAUAUGGCCUUGAAUCCAACAAUGUUGUAGAGCCAUCAGUAUUGCUUGUAGUUCACUUUCCAAAGCAUUUAGAAUCUUUUUUCCUUUAGCCUGAACUGAUCCUUUGUAAAUGCCAUGAUAAUCUUGCACUAUUCGUCCUAAUUUUCCACCUCUGAAUUAAUAAAAGAUCCAUCAACAUUACUAUAUUUUUACCCACCCCUCAUUCGGCCUUUUCCAUCUUUUUUGACAUGAUGUUAUUCUCUAAGAUCCAAUCUCAUUAUUAAUAGCAAUUGGAUUCAUAAUUUCCAGUUCUUUCCAUUCAUUUGCAUCAUUCUUAGCAUACUGCAAGAUACUCCUCCUUAAAUGAACUAACCGAGAUAAUCUCCAAAUUAUCUAUAAAGGUAAGUCUUAUAAAUGAACUAACCGAGAUAAUCUUGCAACAUGGUAAACAUGCUUAUAUUUUUUUUUCUUCCAGAAUGAACGCCAAGUCUGGUUUAAUGCAAAUGAGAUAGCAAGCCCCAUAUCACAAGAGCAUAGUGUAGAAGAAUCACAAGCUAUAAGCUCGGAUAAUAUUUGCAUGGUGGAUGGUUCAUGGACUUCCACAACUCAGUUUAGUGGCUGUGGUUGAGUUUGGAUGGAUAGCUUCAGAAAGAUUCAACUUAUGGGGACGCGGAAUUUAAGAAGGUGAGAAUCUGCUUUACAUUCUGAAGUAGAAGCACUAUGAUGGACAAUGGAGAGUAUGCUUCAACUUUCGUCAUGUCAGAGUUUUGGGACAGAUUGCAAGAAUCUGAUCGCGAUGAUAAAGGAGCCUCACGCACGGCCAAGUUUUGUAACAGAGUUGGAGACCAUAAAGAUGCUGAGAAAUUGUUUCCCGAUCUUCAAAAUCUCUCAUAUCCCUUGAGCUCACAAUGGAAUUUCUGAUUCUUUACUUAAGACUACAAAAUCAUUUUCUAGAGAGUUAUGUUACAUUGGUUGUUCUAUUCCGGCCUGCUUGCCCAGACCACCUCAAGUUUGAAUAAUAAAAUAGCCAUUCAUUGUCAAAAAAGCUAUUAACAAUCAAGAAUAGUCUAUUAUGCCUCAUUUUGAAGAGAAAAAAUCAACACCCUGUGAAAGGAAAUUUGUUGAAAUAGUCCCAGUAAUUCAAAAUACCAGCGCUUCUAUUAAGAAAAGGCAAGCUAAUGGCAAUGAUAACAAAUGGCAUGUUAACACAGCUUCAAAUGGGUUUCAAUGGCAAGCUACUUGGUUGUGUAUGACCCAGUUGAUGAAAAAAAAAAGUUAAAAGCAUUGAACACUCUCGUAAAAAAAAGUAAGUAUCACAUGUCACCAAACUCUCUAUUUUAUUUAACUUUUUGUCUGACUUGAAAUUAGCGGUCUUUCUUCGCCUGAGAAGGUUCCACAUAUCCGCCUGGUGGGGAUAUUAUGGCCAAAGAUUUUUUCAAAAAAUUAUUUGAAGAUGAGGGAUUGGUUAAAUUUUACUCUAAGUCAAAGGGGUUAUUAAUACCCUUGCUAUAUUGACGUAAUUCUAAGUUUGUUAUAUCCUCUUUUACAGCACCUUGAUAUACCCUUAGGGAUGUACAGACCAAGGUUCUCCAGGAGUACAAGUGCUUUCAUAUCUCCAAGGAUUGCAAUAAUUGAUGCAACCAGGCUUGAACCAGAAGCUACAUUUGAGCAAGAUGAUGUGAGCAUGACUGAACCAGUAGCUGAUCUUGCGUAUAAAAAGCUGGAGGAGAGUGACAGUGAAGAGGAGCUGGAUGAGCUGAACACUACAAUUGGUUACAAGGAGCAGGAUGGGAGUUCAAUUGGAUUUAACUCAGCACGAGACCCAUUCUCUUUCUCCAAUGGGCCAAUUACUCGAUCUCAAACCAAAAAGAUGAAAGAAGCAAUUGUUGGUUUGGUUUACUUCAAUCCAAACUCAGAUUCAAACCAAGAUCAAGCCGAGAACCAAACCAAGAUCAUCAAUUACUCAGUCUUCAAUCUCACUUAGACUUUUUCGAUUUCUUAGGAAGUUUGAAAGACACCUUUUUUAAUAAGUCUCUUGACAUGUCCUAAACUUCUACAUAAACUCAUGUUUUGUUUUCAAUAAGAUCAUUCACUCUUUUUAUCAAAAACUCUCUCUCAAAACUUGUGAAUCCUUUGUUCAUAACUGAACAUCGAUUGCUUAGGAGUAAAGAUCUUCAAGCUUUUCGUCUUUAGAUCACAUCCGAGCGGUGACCUGCUCGAUCUGAGACACAACGAACAAGUGUUUAUUUCUCCAUCGACUUCACACUGAAGAUCCAUCCCCAUCUUCUAUCAUCAUCCAUCUUUCAUACCACCAGAAGAAACUCACUCAUCAAACCCUCCAUGAACCGAUCCGUGCUCCAGAUUCAAAAUCCUCAUCAAAUCAAUCACAAAGAGAUAUCAAAAGGAUCGGCUAAAUCACCCUCAGAUCUAUCAAAAAGGGAUUGAAAAUCAUCAAGGUGUUCAUUAAUAAUGGACACACUUUUCUCUCUGUGGUGGAGUAGUAAAUACGAGGGCUGGCUAGGAGUUGAGUCGAAAAUACCUAAGGGAGUCUAUGAUUACUACAACAGUAAGAGGCCAAAUUUUAGCCCACUUGGCAAGCAAUAGGGUCGAGAUUUGGAUACAUUAUAGUCAGUUCUGAUGGUAGCUAACUGUCACUGUGCGUUGAUGGUCAUUUUUAUCCCAGACCGAACUAUCAAAAGCUAUAAUAAUAUGACUGGUUUGACUUCCAAGGAUAUUAUCAAGAGGAGGCGAAGCCUUUUGCUCACAUGGUCCCUUACGUCUUGUAUGCAUUCUCCGACGCUGAAGUUAAGCAGGCUAUGGAUACUCCAUAUUUUCAAUCCAAUUUGUAACAGAUGGGGUUCCACAAGGCAAACCCCCUUAUGGAGAUUGUGGAAUUUACGCAGUCAAAUUCCUUGUGCGUCUAGUAAUGGGUGUGGCAUUUUUAGAUGAACAUCUUCGUGAUCCUAAUAUGAAGAUAAUGAGAGGAAACUUGGUGCAUAAAUGUACGAUGAAACAAGGCAUCUAGAAGAUAUGUCUGUGUAACAUACAUUAUAUGUGUUAGAUAUUGAUAUACCAUGGACUUUACAUAUUUUUAGCCAUGAUAUAUAAGUGUUUUAAGAACUAUUUACUGUGUUUUGGAGUCUUUUUAGGGUGUUUACAGGUUAAUAAGUGUUUUGGAGAUAUAUGGUGAUUUUGGGACAUUUUGGAGCAAAAGCUAGAAGAAACUCGUAGCUGCCCAUCGAACCAUUCCAGAGUCGACAUUCAGAGUCAACCGUCGAACGAUGGACAGCUCUUGUCGUCGAUCGACAAUGAAGCGCGCGAAUCCCGACUUGGUUCCCAGCCGACUUAUGGCCUAAGUUCCACAUUAUUUACAAGAUUAUCCCUGGCCGAUUUUAACCUAAUAUUUUUUGUGUUCUGCCAUUUUUUGGGGAAGACACACUUUCAUACUUUCUACUUUACACAGCAAAUCAUAUCUAGGAGUUUUAGUAGUUUGGAGAGAAGAUCCAAGACUCAUUCAAAGAUUUGUAUUGGAACUUCAGUUUUUCGACUCUAUUAUAUUUAUGCAAAUUAUUCAGUUAUUUGCUAUGUUAUGCUUUGCUAUGUCUGAGUAGUCAUCCUUGUUAGAUUUCGGGAUUAGAAGUAAGGUAUUGAGAGAUAGCUCAAAAUAUAGAUACGCUAAUGUGAUAAGAUUUCCUUCAUGGGAAUUACUAUUAAUGUUUGUGUUUUUGAGUAGCUAACUAGAACCCUGAACUUAGGAUAAAUAGGCGCAAGCGAAAGCAUGGCCUUUUACCUGAAUUAAUUCUCCUGAGCUAGGAUUUCUAGAAACAAGUGACAGCUGAUUUAGUAAAACUAGUGAACCAAUUGAACAGCUCGGUAACACUUGACUAGGUAAACAUCGAGCGAUGCUGGUAAUGCGGCGUCGAUAUAUGUUCGAAUUAUAUCAACAAGUGAUGGCUGAGAUAUAGACUUAGAUCAAUAGAAUAUAUUCGCACGCGGAAGCUGGAAUAUAUUGUCAUUAGAAUUCGUGUUCUAGGAUUGAAACCUUAGCAUCUAUAUCAUUGUAAUUCCAAUUACCUGAAACCCUAAAUCUAGCUAUUUCUCAUAAAUGUUUACAACCUCAAAUCAAUCAAUCAACCGAACAACUGCCUUGUUCACCUCUACUUUUUAUUAUUCUAAUUGCUUGCCUAGUUUAAUCAUAAAUUUGUUAGGAUCUAUUGUGUGCCUUAGCUCCUUGUGGAUUCGAUCCCUAAGUACUACGACUGAACCUCUUAUUUGAGAGAGUAAAGUCACUCCUUGGGGUAAUUUGAGUGAUAUCAAAUAUCAUAAACCAAAGUUGGCAACCUUGCGGUUUUUCUUGUUUUCAAGUUCUUUUUUCCUACACCUUGUUUUCAAGUUCUUUUUUUUAACAGCUAGUUUUCAAGUUCUUUUAAACUGUUGUAAAUAUCUCUGAGUCAAUUUGUUGUUUUAAAAAUAAAAUAAAUGAUUGCGCGGACACACAUGGAUUACUGAGAGAAAGUUCAAUUUACUGUUAUUUUAUUUUAUAUUUAUUCUUCAUGGGUUCUUAAUGUAGCUGGGCUUAUCCAGUUUUUUCGGACCUAGCAUGACACGCAAGGCCUUACCAGGACACACAAGCCCUACUUCUUUCAACUGGUUCUUCUUCCUCGUCAUUUUUUCGUCCACUUCACUUCAGCGUCUUCUUCUUCACUCUACCAGGGAAACACCUACUUCCGGCACUUUAUGUCAGAGGGAAUUCCUUCGAAGUUUUUGUUUGGACGAAACAAGGUUACAUCCGAAGAAUGAUAUAUUUACAGCUAUACUUUCAAGGCCCUAAAAGCUGUAAAAGAUGUAGUUGGUGUUAAAAUGUGGGAGUGUGAGAGUAUGUUGAGAAGUCUCCAAUGGGGAUAAUUAUUAAGUUCAUGAAUCUGGAUUUUGCCUGGAGCUCAAGAUUGGUUCACUAUGUUCUUUCUAGACAACUCUAUUGCAAGAAACUAUAUGAGCUUUGGUUUUUGAUCGAAAACACCCAGCCUUGUUUCUCGAUUAUUGAGUUUGAAGAUAUCACAUGUUUAAUGUGUCCUCCAAUACCUAAUACAAAGGUAGUGGGAGAUUUUGAGAAAAGUAAUCGUUUUUGGUGGCUGUUCAACCUGAGACGUACCCGUUCAACCCCAAGAGCUGAGGACAUACGUAUAUAAUGUCGGUCUUCUGGUUGAAAGAUGAGGUAAGAGAUUUUACUUUUGACACAUCCUCAGGUGUGUUUUAUUGGUUGUCGUACAUACUUUCCUUCUUUUGUAGCACAUGAACACAGCCUUAGAUUUAUAUAGAUUAAGAUUCCAACAAGACCCAAAUAUAUUCCAUAUCUUCAAGGAUUGCGAUUAUGGACGUAGGGUUCCAGAUGUUGUGGGCACAUCAGUACCAGAACUGGCUAGCAGAUGAAAUAGCCCCCCCUGGUGGAACCUUUUACUACUACCAGGUACUUGCACUACAAGGAAUAUCGGCAUCAGCAGCUGUGGGAACCGAAAUUCGCACUGUCGAUUUUCCGUAAAAUAAGGAAAGUCAAGUCAACCCGACUUUCCCAGAGAUCCCGGAUUAUCUGCGAAAACAUACGAAAAAUGAAAGAGACGAAGAUAACAGAAUAUAGAAAGUAAGUUGCACAGAGGCGUAUUAUUGAUUGACAAGAACAAAGUUACAAGGUUUCUGACAGACAAGACGAAGAGAGUUUUGCUAACCAAGUCAGUCUCAGAACAAAGACGAAAAGAGUCUAAGUGAAAUCAAGCCGCCUAAAUUCCAUGUUUUUCUAAGCUAGCAGACUUUUUAUAGGUCUAAAUCUCUCUUCUGCACCUUUAGCUUUAGCUCUCCUUAUAUAUGCCUUCUGGAUCGGUUCCCGUUUCCUUUUUUACCCCUAGGUCGAGUUUAUCCCUUCGCGGAAAUAUUCAUUUCCUUCUUGAUCUUCAUCAUUAUCUUGAAAACUUGACAUUUAUCUUCCGAUUUUGCGAGAGUUAUCUCUUCUGCGAGUAAAGAUACACCGUCAUAGCAUUGUUGGGCUCAAUUUCGUAUGAAAUCUUAUGUGUGCCUAUAGCCGUGUUCUAGGCCUCUUUGUGAUUUAAACGUUUUUACGAUUUCUUCGAAAGAACUUUCUUGAUACAACGUUGAUUUAGCGAGGAAGUUCACACUUCUUGUGUAGUUUAGACAAUUGUGUGUUAAGUUAACUAUUGCCGUUUAUUCGAUAACCAUGAACUUCAUUCGGGAAAGUGAGUCUUUGCGGCUCUUAUUGUAAAGCUCCAAUGGUAACUCCAAUCGAUACGAAACGAGGGAUUGAUCCGUCGAGGUUCGACGAAAGGCAUCAAGUUCAUUUCCACGUCGCCUUAUGGCGCGUCGGGAGGAGUUGGACGACGCGUUCGGCCCAACUCGCCUGAUCGGCGAGUUUGACAGUGCGUUCGGUCCAACUCGCCCGUUCGGCGAGUUAGACUGCUUGUUUGGUUCCAUGAUCUGCUUCUCUCGAGUCUUUUGCUCAGGAAUUUUUGUCGAGAGUGUGUGUCGAGAAAGCUUUUGUACAGAAACGCAAUUAUUAGAUGUUGAUUUCGAGAUAACCGUUUUUUAUCCCAACAGUAGCACCGACAAACACUACCAUAUCGUUUUCGUAGCGUUUUCAUGAACGCUAUGACAGCCGUAGCUAUAAUAGACUCCCACCCUAUAUUAAAUAAUUUUAACAGUGUCUUAUUUUUGCUAUUAUAUCGUUUUCCAUGGCGUGUUUUGUGGCCAUAACAUAGUUUAUAAUGACACUUCUUCUUUGCCAUUGAAUAUAUUUUUGUAACUCUUGUGUUUCUGGUGGUGUGCACCUAUAAUAGCAUUUUCCGUAUGUUCUUGAAUAAGAUAAGAUAGCUUGUUUCUUGUGCUGGGAUGUUAAUUUUCAUAGCUAAUCUGCGAUGCCCUAUUAUUUUUUAUAAUAACACAUUUGUCGGUUUGAUUUAUGCUAUAAUUGUUUUAUUUGGAUUAUUUAAUUGCACAAUUUGUAAAUUUAAAAUGAAAUAAUUAAAAAUAUAACUUACUCUAAUUAAAUACAUACAAAUUACAAACAUGCCAAAAGCAAUAUAAUGUACUACAAUAGAUCCAUAGCAAACAAAACACACAAUGAUGCAGCUAUUAUAGAACCAUGCCAUUAAUAUUGACGGCCACCCUUGGCUCGUGAGGACUGUCCUUGUUCUUGUUGUGGUCGUCUCAUAAGAGCUGAGUUGCGGGCAUUCAGGGAUCUCAUACAGUGCAUGAACAUUGGGACGAUGUCUUCUUCAGGUUCCUCAAUGCGUAUCAAAUAUCCUUGAGAGCGUCUGAACUUGGUUCUAGUUAUCUCUUCCAUAUCAUUUCCUCCUGAGGACUGUCCUUGUUGUUGUUUUGGGUGUUUCAUUUAAGCUGUGUUGAGUGCUUCUUGUUGUGGCUAUUUUUUUUUUUGAGUUGUGGUUUCACUCAGGAUGCCGCGGGUCCACAGAUGAUGCCCUUCCUUGCUUCCAUUAGAGUUUCUAGAUUGAAAAGUUAACACAAGUUAGAUCUUCGGAUAAUAAGUCUGAAAAUCGAAGAGGAUAUUUAAGUAUCUCAACACAAGUUAGUGAAGAAUUAAUUGAAAAGUUAACACAAGAUAGAUCUACAUGAUAAUAAAUCUGAAAAUUGAAUAUGAUAUUUGAGAUCUCAACACAAGUUAGUGAAGAAUAAAUCGAAAAGCAUAGCCUGAAUAUGGAAUUCGAGUAUUUCUGACCUGGGUAUUGAGUAUGUUGGUUAUCUUCGUAUUUGUUCCUUUCCGAGAUCUGUAAGGCUUCGAAUCUUUAAGGAUCUGUAAGAUUCAUUACGUUCAUAACUAGAGAAAUCUAGUAAUGAGAUCGAUGAGAAAAAUCUACGGUUUAGAGGUCGCUAACCUUUGAUAUAAGUUGAUGAGUUCAAUGGAAACGCAGAGGGAAAUCGGUUGUACAGAGAUACGCAAAGGGAAAAAUCGUCGGUAUUGAUGGAAAGACGGGAGAUUCAUGGUGGUUUGAGAUGAAAUCGUGGUGUCUUAAGAGAGAUUCGUGGUAGUUUGAGAUGGAAUCGUGAUGGCUACAUAGAGAUUUGUGGUAGUUCGAGAUGGAAUCGUGGUGGCUCAGAGAGAUUCAUGGUGGUUUGAGAUGGAAGGAGAUAAGUCUCUAACCUAGUUCAUGGUGGCUACAACCUGUUUCGAUAGACGACAUAUAAAGAUAAAAUAUUUUAAUUUGGCUCCCAAAAUUUUGAUAUUUUGGUUUGUCUCUAAGAAAAAGGAAAUAUUUUGGUUUGGCUCCAAAAGAUAGUAUAACAAGAAUAUAGUUCUAAGCUUAAAACACCAUGGUUUUUGUUUCAUUUUGACAUGGUGUAAAUUUGUAAUGGAAUGUAUGUGUAAUUUAAAAUGAUCAAAAAAGAAAUUAAAGCAGUACUAUACAAUGAAUACAUCAUUUUGUGAACAUAUAAACCCUAAACACAAUAACUACACCAAUUUACCCUAACCCCUAAAACUAAACACUAAAUGUAAACCCUUAACGACAAAGGUGUGGAAAGUUUCUUUUUUAACGCUGAUUUAUUAUGAUAUUACAAUUAUGAGAAAGAUUACAUAGACCAUUCGACAACCGACAAUACUACCUACCUUAUGAGGAUCUACAUCUAACUGCAUCACCUGAGCCGUCCUACGAAGACCUACCCCUGACCGGAUUAACUUGCACCAUGUUGAAGAUUCCUUGUAAGCCUUUCUUCCAUAGUUUGCAUAAUUGUUUAAUAAGUCGCUUUCUCCGGGAAUUGAAACCUGGACCUCCUAUAAUGCGCAAUCUGCAAGAAAUUACAUAGCCUGGGAUUUGAACCCAAACCUGUGUGUAGAAGCCUUUAAAUCUUAACCAUUUGGCUACGGUGCUUCCACAAAUGUGUAGAAAGAUUACAUCAUUUAAUUUUUGAACAAAUAGAUUAUUUUGCUAUUGUGUGUGUUGUUAUCUUUUGUUAAUAAACCCUCAACACUAUAAUUACCCUAAAACCUAAAAUUAAUCCCUAAAAAUAACAUAUGAAACCCUAAAUAUAGACUCUAAACACCAAAUCUUCUCUACAUUGUUUUUGUUAAAAAAUAAUAAUAAUAAUGAGAUUAUUCCAUUUUUAUAUGAAAAUGCAUAUUUGGACAUUUCAUUUUUUUGGCUUUGUUGUUAAUUUCAAAAGAUAAAAUGUGAACACAUAAAACAUAGGUUGGUUACGGUUAUGAUCCAAAUCAUACAUAAAAAACAAAGUUGCAUGAAGUUGUAGCGCUGCUUGGUCGAGUGGACAGAAAUAAGAAGAGAGUUUUUUUUUUGUAUAAGAUAUGCCUUUCAAGCCAUUGUUCAUACGAUUUGGAGAGAGAGGAACAAGAUCAAACAUGGAGAGAAACCUUUACCCAUAUUUGUAGCAAAGAAGCUAAUUGACAAAGAAGUAGAAACAAAUUAAGCUUGAUGAGGUUAAAAGGUUGCAAAGGAAUGGAAGACAUGCUUCCAUACUGGUUUAGCACAAGAGUGUAGAAAAUCUUGAUUUGCUUUAGAUAUUUGGAGUAAAUGAUAGGAGUUUUCUUUAAUCAGGUCUACACCUUGUUGUAAAAAAAGAUUUUUUUGAUGAAUAAAAUUUAACAUUCUUUCAAAAAAAAAAACAAAGUCAUUAAAAAGACAAAAGUCAUGUUCUCAAACAGACAAACACGAAGUCAUUUAUGUCUUAGAAGAACUUAAUUGCUUGGUUUGUUUUGUGCUGUUGUUAAACCUGAAAACAAAGAAAUCUUAAGUUAGUUUGACAUAUUUUCACACUUAUGUAACACGACAGUGAGCAAAUAAUUGAACAAAAGUCUCACCGUUAUAACUUUAUCGUCUGGCCAAACUGCUUCGUUAGAUGAUCAAUAUUCCCCUUUGAUUUCCCUUUAUUAAAAGCAGAGAACAUAAAAACAAACUGCUUCGGUCAGAAUUUCAAAUGUUUUUUUCCUGUAAUUUUUGGUCUACGAAUUUACUUAUUUGACAAAUCAAAGUGGAGCAUAUGGCUUUUGAAUAAAAUAUCAAUUAAUGUUAAGAUAAUGCUUAAAAAGCAACAAAUCAGAUAAUUAACAAAACAAUUGUUAGCAAGAAAUUGGCCCUAAACUCAUUCGAUGUGUUAGUUAAAACCCUAUUUUUUCUCUGAUUACCACUAUCACGUGCAUGUUAUCUAUAACUUCCAAAUCGUGGCAUGAUUUUAAACUGUUCCGUAGUUUAUAUACUUUAUAAUCAAUUCAUUUUUUCUGUAUUUGCUUUUCUUCUUUCUUCUCUAUCGUUGACGUUCCCAAGUUUUUUUGAGGCACUAUGUAAAAAAGAAAUGUUGUCUGGAUAGAAAAGGUAAUUAUUACUGUAAACUCGGGAGUUCCAUUCUUGCUUCAUUUUUAUAACCACGAUUCAAAUUUGUAUUACAAACUAUUUUUAAGUUGCAUUGAUCUUCAUUGUAGGAAUUGUAGUAUUAUAAUGUGUUUACGAUGACUUGAUGAUUUAUGGUUACCAAGUUUCUUUUUUCAAAGUUGGUACUUUUCAUGACCAAAGGUUUUCAAAAUUUUAUUUGGUGACUUGACUUCUUAAGUUUUAGAUACAUGACAUCAAUAAUUUUACCAUAACGUGUCUUUGAACCCUUUUUGGGUCAAAAAUUUCUCUGAACCUAUACCUUUUAUUAUCAAAUUCUAAUAAACAACGUUUUGGACCUAAUUGGUUUAUAUGGACAAUGUUUUUUGAUUCGAUGGAUAAAUUUUUCAUUCCAGUAUUAGUUUUAACUUCCUAUUUUCCUAUUUUGUAGAUUCAAAGAUGAAUGUGGUGUUACCGUGGUAGUACAUUUUUAACCAUAAACAUGUAAUGUUAUUAAAUUUUAAAAUUCGAUGUUAGUUCUUAUCUGAAAAAAAAGAAAUACAACCAAAUACUAGUAUGUAUUAAAUUAUUGACAAAUUUAUUACUAUUCAAACAUGAACUUUAGAAAAAAAAAUUCUAAGAAACUUAAGGUAAUUGAAGUUUUUAUAUAAAAAGGUAAAAAACACAAUCUUUAUCCAUUUAGUAUAAAACAUUUUUGUCUCAUUUUUGCCUUAAUUACCCUUUCCAUUUAUCAAAUUUAAUGAAAUAAAUAGUUUUAUCAAUAAAAAAAUAAAAAAAAGAUGAAAUAUCCAUAUAUACAUAUAAUGGUAAUUUUUUUAGAUUGUAAAACUUGUUAAAUUAAAAUUUAUAAUUAUGUUUUACGUAAGAUGUCAUCUUCUACGAAAACUGGCAUGGUGAAAAGUGAAUUCCAAGUUAAACAAGUUAUUCUAUUUUCAUUAGAAUCAAUAAUCCACUUUUAAAUAGAAAAUCUAAAUAUGAGGAAUGUGAAGUCUACGCAUAUUAAAGAUAGGUACAUUUCUUUAGAAUGCAUCUUCUAUUUAUAUCUUUAAUUAUAAAGUUUUACAAAUAUGAAAUAUAAAAACAACUCAAGAGUCUACAUAUGGUCGAAUUUUCUUACGAAUUAGUUCUACGUUCUCUACCCACUGUAGAAAUCUACUUUCUACGGAUAAGAAUUACUAUAUUUAUGAAAAUAUGGAAAAUUCAAUUAAUAUUCUAAAAAUAUAUGGAAAUCUUUUGACUUUCCUAAAAAUAUAGGGAAAUCAAUAUAUUUUUAUGGAAAUCUUUUUAUUUGGUAUUGGAUAUUGAAUUAAAUUAUAUACAAUUGGAAUUAUAUAUUAACAAAUUAUAACUAAGGGCUUGUGAUUAACUAUUUUAGAAAUUCUAUUUUUUAAAGGCUGGUCUGUUAUCAGCAUAAAUUAUUUUGUAUACAACUUCAAAAAAAACUAGUUAUAUGUUAUAUUAUAUAAAUUAAUUUUAAACUCAAAUAAAGAAUAGAUGUGGCAAAAAAAUGCAAUACAAUGUAUUGCAAUUAUUGUAUUACAUUGUAUUACCAAUAAAAAUUAAAAACAAAACUUAAUGCUAAUAAUACUAAUAAAUUGCAGAAAAAAUAACGUAAUAUUACAUACUAACAAUUUCAAAUAUAUAUAUUAACUAAAUUUCUGUUUGACUAUAACAAAAAUUUGGGUGAAUACUUUAUACAACAUAUUUAAUAGAUUAUAAGUCAUAUAAUUCAAAUAUUAAAUGUUUAUACUGGUGAAUCAAUUUUUGAGUCACAUAUUUACAUUUCGUAAAUACAAAAUAUGACACAAUUAUUUUUUUAAAUAGUUUUUGAAAAUAUUAUUUAAAAUGCCUUAUAUUUGUUGUCAUGUUUACUCAUAAUUAUUGCCUUUUUAUAUUUUAUUCCCUUUUUUGUUGACGUUAAUAAGUGAAUCGAUUAGUUUAUUAAUUUUUUAUUUUAUUCUCUUUUUCUUUAGUGUUUAUGUUAAUAGGUAAAGAAUAAUUUAAAAUUAAUUAUAAAGUAAUAUUACAAUGUAAUUAUAAAGUAAUUAAUUUGAUUAAAUAAGGGCUAAUUUUGGGUUUUGCACAAUUAUUAUACUACAGGGACAAAUUAAAGUUGGAUUUAUACUAAGGGGAUAAAGAUUGUGUGUUUUUGAUCUAUUUUGGCAAAUUUUGUAUAAUAAAUACUUUGAAAUCUUUUUUUACUUAAAAUUUUGUUAGUUUCGAAUUUUAGGAUGGUUCUAGUGGUUUUAAAGUGUUGUAGCGAAUUUUUAAUUUUAGUUAAAAAAAAAUUUAAAACAAAACUCAUGGUUAAAGUUGUGCGAAAAACUGUUACUUCUGUUAAUUAUGUAAAAGAAAGCCCGUAUUUAUUAACUCAUGGUAAUUAUGUUAACUCAUGGGUCAGUAUAGGGUCCUUCUCAAUGGUCAGCCACGAGGUUUUAUCACCCAACAGCGGGGCUUACGGCAAAGGGAUCCUUUGUCUCCGUAUUUAUUUAUUAUGUGCACUGAGUCAUUAAUCGCGAAUAUUAAGAAGGCGGAAAGAGUGAAACAAUAAAUGGUUUAAAGGUAGCAAGAGCUUGUCCAGCAAUAUCUCAUUUGCUAUUUGCAGAUGAUAGUCUUUUCUUUUGUAAGGCAAAUAAGGAGGAGUGUCAAACCAUUCUUAGGAUUUUGAAGGAAUAUGAGGUUGUCUCAGGGCAACAAAUUAAUUUCCAGAAAUCUUCAAUUCAAUUUGGACAUAAGAUUGAAGAAGCUAGUCGUCAAAAAUUGAGAGAUAUUUUGGGAAUUCAGAAUAUAGGAGGCAUGGGAUCUUACUUAGGUUUACCAGAAAAUCUUGGAGGAUCUAAGGUACAGGUGUUUGGUUUUGUACAAGAACGCUUGAAUAAUAGGGUUAAUGGUUGGACCUUUAGAUUUUUUACUAAAAGAGGAAAGGAGGUAAUUAUUAAGUCGGUGGUUACGGUCCUGCCAAACCAUGUAAUGUCUGUUUAUCGGUUACCAAAGGCUACAAUAAAAAAGUUAACGAGUGUAGUAGCUCAGUUUUGGUGGAGUCCAAGAGGAAGUAUAAAAGGUAUGCAUUGGAAAUCAUGGGAAAAAUUAUGUGUGCCUAAAGAUAAUAGUGGACUAGGCUUUAAGGAUCUUAUGGAUUUUAAUACAGCAAUGCUUGGUAAGCAAUUGUGAAGGCUAGUUGAGAAGCCAAAUACUCUUUUUUCAAGAGUUUCAAAGUACGGUACUACAUGAAUGCUUCACCCCUGGAACCGAUCCAUUCAUACUCCCCAUCAUAUGGCUGGAGGAGUAUAAAUUCUGCUACAUCUUUGGUUUGUAAAAGACUAAUUAAAAGGGUGGGAACAUGUUCAUCUAUAUCAGUAUGGAAUGAUCCUUGGAUCCCAGCCACACGGCCGAGACCAGCAGACAAAAACCUUCAAAACAGUUACCCGGAUCUCACAGUGGAUUCCCUCAUUAAUCAGGAAUCCCGAACAUGGAAUUUACAGGCAAUCAGAGCUUUGGUGGAUCCUCAUGAUGCAAAAAUUAGUAAACGUAUUCCAUUAAGUCGAAAUCAGAUGGAGGAUAGAAAUGAAUGGCAUUUUACCAACAACGGGAAAUAUUCGGUCCAAUCAGGUUAUCAAGUGGAAAGGGUAUAUCCGGAUAAGGAAAAACCACCAUAAUUUUAUGGUCCCACGGUGGAUACAUUAAAAGCUUUCUGCUGGAAAGUACGGUGCAUCCCGAAAAUAAAACACUUCUUAUGUCAACUCCUUUCAGGAUGUAUAGCGGUACUGAAAAUUCUAAAAUCAAGAGGGAUACAAGGGGAUAUAUGUUGUGCCAGAUGCGGAGAUCCGGAGGAAUCAAUAAACCAUGUGUUUUUUGAAUGUCCUACAACACGUCAAGUGUGGGCAUUAUCUAAAAUACCAUCGCAUCCCAAUAUUUUUCCUAUCAGUUCUUUUAUGGCUAAUAUGGAUCAUCUUCUUUGGAGAGUUAAUCCAAAGAUGGAUGAUCACCAAUUUGCAUGGAUAUUAUGGUAUAUAUGGAAAGGCCGGAAUAAUAAAGUUUUUAGCAAUCUGGAUAUUGAUCCGAUGAAAACACUUUAAUUAGCAGAAUUGGAGUCAUCACUCAUCACUCUGGAAUGAAGCACAUGUAGUAAAGGAUCCAACGAGGGGGCAUCAGGUACAGACCACUUCCACGUUAGUGAUGUCAGGACGAUGGUGCUUCAUAUAUGGACCAUGGAAAGAUAAGGAUUUAUUUUCAGGGCAAGGCUGGUAUAGUACUUUACCGGGUUUCGGUGGUUUAUUAGGGGCAAAGAAUGUAAGGACAAGUCUCUCACCCCUUAAUUCGGAGGUGGAGGCUUUAAUUUGGGCAAUGGAAUGUAUGAAGAAUUUAAGACAAGUUCAGGUGACGUUUGCAAUGGAUGUUCUCAAUUGGUGAAGAUGGUUUCGGAACCAGAAGAAUGGCCAGCAUUUGGAAGUUAUUUGGAAGACAUUAAGCUUUUAAAAAGAAGUUUCCUCAACUCAGACAUCGUUAAUGUACUACGGACGGAGAACCUUCGGGCGGAUAGCUUAGGACGCCGUGCUAGAAAACAGUCGUCUUUCGUCAUUCACAUGGAUGCGGAGUUACCGUUUUAGUUUACAUAGUCACUAUGAGUCUUUAAAUGCUUUUGCUGUAAAAAAAAAUGUAAAAGAAAGCCCGUUUAAGACGACACAAACCAACGAAAAAAUAGUCUCAUUUCUUCAUCUCAAUUCUCUAAUUGCUUCUCUUGCUCAAACUCACGAAUAAGCAUGAUAUACUCUGCAGUUGAGUUCAUUCCAUGGAUCAAGAAAUGAGGUACAAUUCUCAGCUAAAUUUCUCGUUAGUUUUACCUUUGACUGAUGGUUAGGGUUAGUAAAAAUUUGGGGUUUGAACACGCUUUGUAGUUCAUUUAACUGGUUCCUUGAUAAUAUUGACGUAAAGUGUUUCAGUUUGUUUUUUUUUUCUUAGAUUUCAAAGAAAGGCAUUUUUUUUCCUUAUACACCCCGAGUGUUCGAUAAAAUGCUAAUAUCUUGAUUUCAUUGUAUUUGCAGUGAUUCUGUUGAUGUAUGUUUCACUGUAUUUCACAGUGGGAAUUUUGAACUAGAAAGUACUGUCACUUCAUAUAAAAGAGGAGAGGUUCUUCAACUUGUAUGUUCUCCACAAAUGUUGUUUGCAAACAUGUCGGAGGCUCUAGAGAACUCGUUGUUUGGUCAAAGGGUUUGGUAUAAGCUUCCUUCUGAGAAUUUUGGAGAGCUAAAAAUGAUGUGUAAUGGUGAUGUGAUGUUUGACUUACUGGUUCAGUCAACAAUUUUGACAAAGCUGCUGAAUGUUUUUUGGAGAAAGACGAUAUUGACGAUGGAGUUGCUAAUGUCUCCGGUGUUAAUUGAGCUUUGGUAAUGUAGGUAGGGGGACUGGUGAUAGAUAUAAUGGUGAUGCUGAGAUGCUUGAUGAAGAUGCACGAGUAGAGAAAAAUUUAGAAGGAUUUGUCGAUGAAGAAGAGAAUUAUAAUGAUGAGGUCACUCCGCAGAAUUCUGAUUGUGAAGGUGAUGAGAGGCAAUACCAAAGGUGUAAAAAAGGGAGUGGGGCGCUUAAGUUAGGUCAAGUAUUUGUUACUUUAUCUGAGUUCAAGAAAGCUGUGGUUGAUUACUCUCUAAAGAAUGGAUUCAAUGUCAAAUUCACAAGAUGGGGGUCUCAAAAAUCUGAAUUUAGGUGUGCAAUUGUCGCUGGAGAUGAUGGUAGGAACAAUAAUGAACACGAUGUUGCUGGAGAUGAUGGUAGCAACAAUAAUGAACACGAUGUUGCUGGAGCUGAUGGUAACAAUAAUAUUGAACAGGAUGGUGAUGGAAAUGUAAGUACAAAAGAGCAUCAAAGUUGUAAAUUCAGAAUCUACUGCUCCUUUGAGAGAUCAGUAGGGAUGUUCAUGAUCAAGACGUUCGAAGAUGAGCAUUCUUGUAUACCAGAUGGCUGUAGCAGGGUCGUUAAAGGUCGAAUGAUUGCAAAGUUGUUGUUGAAUAACAUAAGAAGAGAACCUACUCUCAUGCCUAAGGUGAUGCAAUAAAAGAUGGAGGAGAAAUACAAUCGUAUUGUCUCAAAUGAUCUAUGCAGGAAGGCUAAGAAACAAGUGUCACAGAUGAUUCAAGAUGAACAUGACGAGCAAUUUCAAGGCUAAAGGAUUACAAAAUAUAGGUCAUUAAGUGUAAUCCGGAGUCUACUGUGGAUGUUGGGACAGUGACAAAAGAAGAUUGUAAAGAGAUCUUUGACCAUAUAUAUAUUUGUUUAGCCUCCUGAAAAAGAAUAUGGCUUGCACAUUGCCCACCAAUAUUUGGGAUAGAUGGGUGUUUCUUGAAGAACAAUGUGCAAGGACAAUUCUUGGCAGCUGUUGGGAAAGACACAAACAAUCAGUUGCUCCCUGUUGCGUGGGCAGUUAUCCAAGUGGAGAAUACUGAAAGUUGGUUGUGGUUUAUUCAUUAACUUAAACACGAAUUGAACAUGUUGGAUGGACAAGGCUUCACUCUAAUCUCGGAUAGACAAAAAGUAAGUUGGUCUAUCUUCAACUUUUUUUUCUGUUAAAACUUCUUAGGUAUGAUUAAAGAUGUUUUGCUCCCAAUGGCAGGGUUUUCCUAUUGCUGUCGACCAAGAAUUGCCAAGAGUGUAGCAUCGCAUGUGUGCACGCCACAUUUACGGGAAUCUAAGGAGAUCUUUGAUAGGCCAUUGAUUUUACCCACUUUUAGCCAUGGUUUAUAAGUGUUUUAAUAACUAAUUAUUAUGUUUUAGAGUCUACUUAGUAUAUUUAUAAGAUCAGGAGUGAUUUGGAAGAAAGUGAUGAUUUUGGAGCAUUUUGGAGAUAAUUGGAGAAAUCAUCUGAGCUGGCCAUUGAGCAAGACCAAUGGUCGACAUUCAGAGACAAUAAUCGAUCGAUGCACAUUCUGUGACAUGAAUCAACGGCGAAGCGUGCAGAAGCCCGUUUUGGUUCAAGCCGACUUAGAGCCCAAGACUUCACCAAAUUACAAGAUUACUCCUGACGAAUUUUAACCUAAUAUUUAUAGUUUUACAAUAUGUUAGAGGCAAAGUGUGCUUUCUUGUUUUCUUAUCUUCACAGCAAAGGUUUUCUACGAUUUUAGUAGAGUUGGAGAGAAGAUCCAAAAAUAUUUGUGAUUGGAACUCCAUUAAUAUCUAUAUAUUUAUCUAUGCAGUUUUAUACCUAAUUGAUGCUAUGAAUUGCUUAGCCAUGUUGGAGUAGUUCUUUUGUUAGGUUUAGGGUUUAAAUAGGUUAUGAGUGAUUAGCUCCAACUAAAGAUUGCUAACCUGUGAUAUUCAUCAUUAGGAUUUUCAUUAAUGUAUGUCUCUAGUUUAGCUAGCUAGAACUUGCCCUAGGAGUCAUCACUUGCAUCUCACCCUGAAUCCGUCCUAAUUGCGUUAAGAUUGCUAGAGUAAGGCGAAAACUGAUCUAGGAAGCCUAGUGAGCAUAAUUCAACCCGUGCGUAAAGCUUGACUAAGAACGUGUCGAUCGAUAUUCCUAUAGAACAAUCAAUGUCGAUCGAUAUUCCUCUAGAAUCAUCGAUCGACAGUUAUAUCUGGUCAAUAAACAAACCUAAAAGCGAACAUCAGUCAGUUUAUUUAUAAGUGUUUGAGCUCUAUAACAUCAUGCAUACAACUUGUUAGGUAUCUGUAGGAUUAUAAUCCUGAUUACCUGAAUAGAAACCAUAAGUCUAGCUAUUUCAUCUAAAGCACCAAAAACCCAAUCAAAUCAAUCGAGCAACUGCCUUGCUCACAAAUCUGCUUUUUACAUUUAAUCAUAAUAAACCUAGAUUAAUCACUCUGAUUAGAUUUAUUAGGUUCCCUAGCUCCUCGUGGAUUUGAUCCUAAGUACUACAACUAAACCUCUUAUUUGAGAGAGUAAUUCACUCCUUAGGGUAAUUUGAGUGAGAUAAAUCUUAUCCAGGAAAGGAAUUGCCUAAAUACUUGUUUUGGGCUGUUGCAAAGAGUUUCAACAUUGGUGACUAUGAUAGAGCUCUAACAGCACUGAAGGCGUUUGAUGCAGGAGUGUAUGAAGCAGUGUUAUCAAAGAAUCCGAGUAAUUGUAGUCGUGCUUUCUUCAGCUCAACUUUGGUGUGUGAAGAUCUAUCAAACAACUUUUAUGGGUCAUACAACAAUACACUCAACACUGCUCGAGAGAUGCCAUUAGUGGAGAUGUUGGAGAAAGUUCAGCUAUGAUCCGUAUAGAUACAAGAAAGACUAAUGCAUUGAGGUGGCAAGGAAAAUACAGUGAAAAAGUGGUUGAAACAAUCAAGGAAGAGAAGAAGCAUUUGUUCGACUGUCGCAUUGUUCCUAGUGGCAAUGGUGUGUAUCAAGUUAGGGAAAAUAGUCAUACUUAUACAGUGGAUAUGCUUGCAAAGACUUGUGGUUGUAGGAGGUGGAGCAUGACAUGUAUUCCUUGUUGACAUGCUUUGCGGGUUAUUGGGAAAAAGUAGCUUGAUCCUUUACAAUAUGUGUCUCAUUGGUACUUAACAUCGACUUGGAGGCAGCAAUACAGCGAUCCAAUCCGUCCCGUGAAUGGAAUAAACUUCUGGAGAUCAUUUGGGGAGAAAACUAUUGAACCACCACCAAGAGAUGUUCCACUGCCAACAAAAAAAAAAAAAAAAAGAAGAGGAUUAAAGGAAAGAAUGAGUCCCCACAGAAUAAAAAGAAAGGAAAAGGAUUACAGGAGCCUAAGAAAAAGAUGAUUAAGCUCUCUAUGGAAGGAAGGAGUUCACACUGUGGAAGGUGUGAAAUCUCAUGUUACAAUAGCCGUAGUUGUCCAAAUGAAGGCUGUCCGGUUUAUAGGCCAAAGAAACAAGUAUCUAGACCAAGUCAAAGUGAAGGACCAACUCAACCAUCACAAAACUAGGAUUUUGGUUGAAGGUAGUGUGUCCUUUAUUGAUUUUUUUCUCUAUGACUGUUAUUGGUGUUAUUCUUAAAAACUUAUUGGUCUCGUUUUCGAAUGUGUUGUUUCGGGACAGUGUGAAGUUAGAAGAUAUUAAAGUCCCACGUCGAUCAAUAUAAUGAUCUUUGGGCAAUAUAUAUGUGUAUUGGUAAUCUUCUACUCUUGAGCUAGCUUUUAGGUGUGAGUUAGGCCCAUCACUAAUAUGGUAUCAGAACCCAUGGUUAAGCCCAGCAGAUUAUUUCCCAUAUAAACUGUUUCCUACUUAUGUACCCUGUAAAAAUGACCCAUUUUGUUGUGGUAUUUCCGAGAUGUUGGGCUUGGGCUGUUUCCACUGGACCGUUUCCCAUCCACAUCUCGAGAGGGGCUAUUAAAGUCCCACAUCGAUCAAUAUAAUGAUCUUUGGGCAGUAUAUAUGUGUAUGGAUAAUCCUCUACUCUUGAGCUAGGUUUUAGGUGUGAGUUAGGUCCAUCACUAAUAGAAGAGACGUUAGAAGAAUGGUGCUGGACACUGAAGUUUGUUUAUUCUGGUCAAUAUGAAGUUGAAAGAGGCAGUAGAAGAAGAGUAGUGUUUAGGUUAUGUAUGACUUUUAUGUUAUGAUCGGCAAUGUUGUUCUAACUCUUUUGAUAUUGGUGUUUGACUUUGUAAUGCAAUAUUUAUGUUAGUAAAUUGACUAUUUUGUCAAACUCAAACCAAUUUUAUCUAGCAAAAACUCUUAUAACACAGCUUUUUUGUCUUUUAAGAGUCCCAAUACAACUUUUUGUCGAAGAAGGAGACUCCGAUACAUCUUUUUCAAGCUCUCCGCCAAAACGACACCGUUCCCUCUGUAUAGGGUUAAAUAUUCUGUCAACCAAAACGACGUCGUUGCUUACGUGGAUAUCCUUCUUUGUCUGUCAAUAAUCCGUUAGCCAUGUGGCUAAUUGGCAGUUUUUCGCAUAAAAAAUAAACUUUGGAUAUGAAGCUUGAAUUAUUUGAAACUUUAGGUAUGUUUUCGCACCCUCCUAUACUUUGGGUAUGAAUUGAACAUAUGACCAAACUUGGGGCAGGUUAUGGCUGUUUCCCGCCCGGUCUGUGGGCAUUUUUUGUGAAACAUUUGAAUGAAACCUCCAUUUUAAAUUAAACAUUCAUGUAUGUAUAAUGAUGUUUGGCAUACGCAGAUUCUUGUGGCUGCGGCUAUAUUUUUGUUCGUUUGGCAGACGUCAGCUAUCUGCGUCCGAACGCCGCAGCAUCCAGCGUUAAUAAAUUUUGAACGCUGUAAAUUAGCAUCAAGGUCAAAAAUUCUACGGCAGAAAAUAUAACUUACAUAUUUGCCCUUACACUAUCUCAUUAUUAAAAAAAAACUAAAUCUAAUUAGAUGCAGCUUUCUCUUCAGAAUAGACGCAGAUUGUGUUAAAAAAAAAGAAUAGACGGAGAUCUCCAACUCGUCUUCUCCGAAUAGACAACGCAGCCAUGAGCUCUCUCCUUGAGCUUUGUCACCACAGUUUCGUCCUCGAGCUCUGUCUUCUCCGAAUAGACACAGUUUCGACCUCGAGCUCUCUCAUCUCUUUGUCCUCAAGCUCUUCGACGAAACCCAUCUCUUCCUUUUCUCGUCAUUGUUCUCUGUUGAGGCUAAGAUCCCAGUUAUUGAGAACUGCUUAGAGGUUGUUGCCACUUUGGAAGCAAGGAACAAUACUGGUGAGGUUCUUUGUUUAAUUUUUGGAGAUACAGUUUAAGAAUGAUGCCAAAACCUCACACUCAUUUGAUACAGUUUCACUCUUAGUUUCUUUGUUACUUGAACGAUGUGUGUUUCAUCUAGUUGUUUGCUUAGUUGGUGACUGAUAGUUUAGCUUUGUUUAGAGCUCAAUGAGUAUCUUUGUUGAAUGCAUCUGUUUCUCUUAAGUUUCUCAAGGCCUAUAUGGAGCAAUAGUGUUAUGGCUGCAUGAAAAUCAUGAUAACAUCUCUAUGCUUGAUGUUUGGAUCAGACGAUUGAAUCUGACUUAUGUUAUGUUCUCUCUUUGUGAGUAUAUGAAGCUUUCAAAGCAAACAACGGUUCAAGCAAUAGGAGUGGCGUCAAGCUUGGUCGAGACUAUACAAGGAGCUUGCAGGCUAGGAGGUUGCUUCAAGGCUAUGGUUUUGAUGGGUAUAUGAUCAAAGAAGAGACCGGGUGUGCAAUGGUUUGUUGGCAAGAUCGACCUCUAUACUCAGUAUCUGCUUGGAGAUGAAGGAAGUGAAAGAAGAUGAAUGAUAUAAAAAAUUGUGUGUUCUCUUUUGUUUAUUAGAGCAGAUUCCUUUUCAUUUGUUAUACAUAGGGACACAAUGUUUAGUUGUUUUGUGAUUGUGACAAAUGCUUCUUACUGCUUCUGCAUAUUGCUUCUUUGAGUAUUCAGCAGUGUAUGUGUUUGUUGGUUCAUUUAGGUUUGAUCCAGAUUAUACCAAAACCGGUCGGUUCAAAUUCUUCAGUCAUGGUCUCAAAACUGUUGCAAAAAACAAAUUUGAAUUUCUCUCGGCAUAUGAUUCUGUUGUCAGUUAUAUUAAAAACUAAUUUGGUGUUUGUUUUGAUAACAAUGAGGGCACGUGCACUCUCCAAAGAAUGUUUGACAAAGGUUAUAUAUAUUAGUAAAGCAAAGAAUGGUUACAUAGCUAGUUAAUACGAGCUGAUUUGAAAUGCUUCAAUGGCCAAAAAAAUGAAAACCAGGGAUAAGGCAGCUUGAGCUCAUUUUCUUGCUGCCUUCCAAGAAAUGGUUUGUGUUUGCAUCACCUCAUUUGGUUUAGGUGUCUCUGUAAUUCGAUUCUCAUUACAUCUUUGUUUUUAGAUGGUGAAGAAGAAGAAGAAGAAGAAGAAGAAGAAGAAGAAGAUGAUAAUGAUGGGGGUGGUGGUGGACUGGACAUAUUGUAUAUGAACAUACCGUUUACCAUAUUAAAUAUAUUAAUUAAUGACUAGGUUUUUUUGGCUUAUAACUUUGAUUAUCAUUUCUAUGUGAUAUUGAAAUAUUUGUUUAUUUAUUUAAGACUUAAUGUAUUAUUUAGUUUUUUGUUUUGUGAUCAAUAUUUUGAUAUAUCAUUUUGUUUUUAUUUAGCUAAUGAUUUAUGACAAAUGUUUUUGUUAUAUUUUUAUUUUUGACUAAAUAUUUAUUACCAAUUAAAUAUAAUAUUUUAUGGAUGUAAAUAUAUAUUAAACUAUAUAUUAUUUAUUAAAAGUACAAUUAUACAAAUUUAUAAAAAUAAAAUAUGAAUUAAAUAAAAAUAGCUGCAGCGUCUGCCAAAUAAAUAACAGUAAAUUUGCUUCUAGCGUCAGCAUCCACGUCCAGCGUCUUUUAAACGAACAAUAAUCUGCGGUUGCGGCUGAGACAGUGUUUGUGGCUGCGUCUGCGAAAUAAACAACAACCAGAAGAAUAUGAUGCAGCCGCAGACGAAGCAUCAUCCGCAGCCGUAGCCGCAUGAAGCUGUAUGUGCUAAACGAACAAAAAUGAGACCUCCAUUUAAAAAAAAACAUUCAUGUAUGUAGGAAGAGGAGUUCGGAGAGAGACUAGCAAAACAGAAGAGGAGAGAGAUAAAUGUACUAAUACACACUAAUCUACACACAAAUUUCAUGUUUAUAAUUUCUAUAAUCCUACGUAGGGCAUGAAUGGUUCAAACGCAGCGACUACGGUUGCGGGAGUUUGCGGAUGCGGAUGAUAGGGUUUCUAGCGGUUUUAAGAGAUUUGUACGAAUGGGUCUGCAGUUAGAAUUUGGUGUGUUUGCGGAAUACUUAUGACUGGUUAACUACCAGAUGCAUCAUCGGUUAAAUAAUAAAUUAACAAUAUUUCACAUUUUAUAUAAUUAUAAAAAUAUCAAAAAUCAUAAUACUAUAAUAAUAAUAAAAAAUAUAUUUCAAAAGUUCUAGUUUUAAAUUUUUAAAAAUUAUAGAAAAUAUAUUUAUUUUAAAUUUUUAUAAUAUUAAUUAAAAUAUAAUAGAUAUAUUUUAGUAUUUUUAUAAUUGUAAUUUAAAAAUUUUAUUGAAUCUUUUAUUUUUGUAUUUAUAUUGCUUAAAAAAAAAGAAAAAGAAAAUUAUUCUCUCGCAACCGUCCGCAACCACAAACACUAGUUAAAACCAUCAUUUGAAUUUAUGAGGUUUAGAUCGGUUUGAAACGGUUUAGAGUGGUUUGAGUGAUUGUUCCAAAACACCAACAACUGCUUCCAACAGGAAAAGCUGCAUUUGCCGGUGGUAGCGGGGAAACUCGUAGAGGGAAUAGGCAGCAUCUUCUCACAUCUUUCGAUUGUAAUUAAAUUUUAUUACAUACUCACAUACACACUAAGGAACAAAAUGAUAAUAAUAAUAAUAUAAGUGUUUGCUUAGUAAAAUUGUAUUUAAGGUAUAACAAAUACUAGAAGAUAACCCGCGCGCAUGCGCGGAGUGAGUUCUUAUAAUAAUGUUUGUUUAUGAAAUGAUUUUAAUAUUUUGCAACAUUACAAUCUUUAUUGAUUAUAAAAUGAUGAAUACGAAUGUGGGUCUCUUAAAUAUAUCAUCGUUGUUGAAGAGUUAACGUAUUACAUUUUAUUUUAAUUAUUUUUAAGACUUCAUAUACACAAAAGGAAAUUAAGUUUUACGGCUGACACAUAUCACCAAAAUCAAAUGGGCAACAUUGAUUGUAUGAUGACGAAAGGGGAUUAGGUUUUCUGCUCUCGAUUCGUUUACUAUCGACUCUCCAUAAGUGAUUUCAUUUUCUACCUCUAUAGAAUUGUGCUUUCGUUCUCGUCUUUGUUUUAUUGAUAUGAGUUAAGUUUAUUUUUUAAUUUUUUUUUAUGAAUUCAGUGAAUUACAUAAAUGUCAUUAAAAAAAAGGACAUCUGUAAAAAUUAGUUUCACUCCAUUUACAUAUCUAAGAAUCAAAAUUUGUAAAAAAUCACCGGCAAACUAUAUUAACAGGUUAGUUUUCAAAUCUAAUAUAUCAAGCUGUUAUAGAAUAUAAGUGCAGAAUCGAAGUAUAAAUGUUUGUCUAGGAUAUAUUCACCAGCUUGGUCUAAAAAUCAUAUAAUUAGAACAACAAAACAAAUUACUUCUUUCACCAGUUUGGGUAAUAUCUGAAUCUGAACGGAUAAUAACCGAACCUGAAUGGAUAUCCGAAGAUAACCAAACAUAAGUAUGCUUAACUCUAUAUUUCUAGUUUAUUUCUCUCAAUUUAUUCAAAAUAUUUAUAUUAAUGAUUCUUAUUGCUCAAAAUUAGAUAAUAUACAUAUAAUCAUGGACAAAAUCAUUUGCUACUCACUUAAAAUACAUAUCAAGUUCUUGUUUCUUGCAUUAACAAAAGUUGCAUCUAAAGUUUCAAAACAACAGCUAAAUUAGUGUCAUUCUAUUUUUAAAGUUUUAUCUCCAAACCUAUAAUAAUUUAAUCUUUUAAAAAUAUAUUUUAAACACAAAAACUUAAACAAUGAAUAAUUUAUUUAUUUUUUCUUCAAAAUUUAAAUACUCGAACCGACCCAAAAUAUCUGAACCUGAACA